GGAUGUGACCACCAAUGGAAAUCUCCGGUGAAGCCCACCUCUCCCAGGCAGUCUGCAUAGGGUCCUCCCAAACCUCAGGGGAGGCUGGCACCCUGCUGAGUUUUAUCUUUAUCUGAUUUGUGUGUGUGGUACCAGAAACUGAAUCCACCACCUUCACACUGACUGCUUUUAAUUUUUAAAAUUGUGAGACAUGCUCUUUGUAAGUCCUGAAGUUGCCAGUGCUAGGCUGGAACUUGUGAUCCUCCUGCCUCAGCCUCCCUGAGUGCUGGGAUGACAGGUGUGCGCCACCACGCCUUGCUUGGCACCCUGCUGAAAACCUGCAGGAGUGUCCCACAGUGGGGACAGCGUUGGUCCAAAGUGCUGGCAUGGUAUAGAUGCCCUGCCCAGCCUCCUGCACCCACACCCACUUCUUCAAGGCCAUGCCCUCCGUGUGCAGAACUUGGGCAGUCUGGUCCCUCUCUCAAGCUGAGCGCUGACUCCUUCCAUCGCGUCCUCCAGCCCAGGGCCUUGCUGGCUGGAGCCCUGGCUCACGCACUGCCCUCUGGGCAGGCCGUCAGCCCCAGCCCCCUCCCCCUCGGACCCCAAGGAGCACGGGCCUGUGUGGGUCUUGGCCUCUGCCACCAGGAUUGAACAGUAUCCUGGGUCCCCCUCUUCACCCAGCCACCCUGGAACAUGGAGGUCCACCCACUGUCCUGCAGCCAUGAGUGGCCACCGUGGGCAGCCGUGAGCCCUGAUAAUCACAUCAGCUUGAUACCCAUCCUGUGAGGCCGGCCUUAAUCCAGGCUCCUAGGUGUGCUGACAGUCACCUGCCCGUCGUUCCAUGGCAUGUUGCUCAGACAAGCCUCGAGUGACACUUGUCCAAGAAGAAUGAGUAUAUAGGGGCCAUGGGUUUGCCUUUGGGAAUACAGCCGCCACCGUGGGUGACCAGCAGCCUCAUUCACACCCCCUCUUGUCUCCAGCGGUGCAGCUGCCCGCCCCUCUGCUCUCAGGCACUGCUCACACAUCCUGCCAGCCCCCCGCCCCUCUAGGGGCUCCAGCCUGCUUAGUCUUCAGGGGAGCUGAGAGGUGAUGGUCCAUCUUCUAGAGCGGCUGCAGAAUGGUGAGGGAUGAUAGGGCAAGAGAGACUCCAUUUUCUGUUUUUAACUUCAUAUUAAGAGAAGUCACUUAAAGUUCACUUAAGCUAUACUUCGUCCCAGUCACCUUGGUUAGUUAUGAACUCAGAGCGGAACACAGCCAUAAAAUGGGAACAGAACAAACAGGACAAAUUGGGAAGUGGGCUAAAAGUUAAACUGCCAUGGUCAUGUGGAAUUCUGUUGUCUGACCUUCUGGGAGAAGUAAACUUUGAGAUAAUUCUGACAUUCUUGUAAGAUUCCC